rnacentral:rRNA from 1 species
GACGAACGCUGGCGGCGUGCUUAACACAUGCAAGUCGAACGGAAAGGCCCUGCUUUUGUGGGGUGCUCGAGUGGCGAACGGGUGAGUAACACGUGAGUAACCUGCCCUUGACUUUGGGAUAACUUCAGGAAACUGGGGCUAAUACCGGAUAGGAGCUCCUGCUGCAUGGUGGGGGUUGGAAAGUUUCGGCGGUUGGGGAUGGACUCGCGGCUUAUCAGCUUGUUGGUGGGGUAGUGGCUUACCAAGGCUUUGACGGGUAGCCGGCCUGAGAGGGUGACCGGCCACAUUGGGACUGAGAUACGGCCCAGACUCCUACGGGAGGCAGCAGUGGGGAAUAGUGCACAAUGGGCGGAAGCCUGAUGCGGCAACGCCGCGUGCGGGAUGACGGCCUUCGGGUUGUAAACCGCUUUCGCCUGUGACGAAGCGUGAGUGACGGUAAUGGGUAAAGAAGCACCGGCUAACUACGUG